CCCUUAGAUGUCCGGGGCUGCACGCGCGCUACACUGAAGGAAUCAGCGUGGCUUUCUCCCUGACCCGAAAGGGUUGGGAAACCCGUUGAAUCUCCUUCGUGAUAGGGAUUGGGGCUUGAAAUUGUUCCCCAUGAACGAGGAAUUCCCAGUAAGCGCGAGUCAUAAGCUCGCGUUGAUUACGUCCCUGCCCUUUGUACACACCGCCCGUCGCUACUACCGAUUGAGUGAUCCGGUGAAUAAUUCGGACUGCAGCAGUGUUCAGUUCCUGAACGUUGCAGCGGAAAGUUUAGUGAACCUUAUCACUUAGAGGAGGAGAAGUCGUAACA
rnacentral:rRNA from 1 species